UAAGUAGAAUUUUGACGUAUCUGUACUUUGUUGUUUACAUUUCUGGCAACUUUCAUGUUUAGUCCACUACAUUUCCUCAAUAAAAUGAAGGUGAUGGUCU